rnacentral:rRNA from 1 species
CACUGCCGAGAAAAGCCUCUAGAUAGAAAAUAGGUGCCCGUACCGCAAACCGACACAGGUAGUCAAGAUGAGAAUUCUAAGGUGAGCGAGCGAACUCUCGUUAAGGAACUCGGCAAAAUGACCCCGUAACUUCGGGAGAAGGGGUGCUCUUUAGGGUUAACGCCCAGAAGAGCCGCAGUGAAUAGGCCCAAGCGACUGUUUAUCAAAAACACAGGUCUCUGCUAAACCGUAAGGUGAUGUAUAGGGGCUGACGCCUGCCCGGUGCUGGAAGGUUAAGAGGAGUGGUUAGCUUCUGCGAAGCUACGAAUCGAAGCCCCAGUAAACGGCGGCCGUAACUAUAACGGUCCUAAGGUAGCGAAAUUCCUUGUCGGGUAAGUUCCGACCCGCACGAAAGGCGUAACGAUUUGGGCACUGUCUCAACGAGAGACUCGGUGAAAUCAUAGUACCUGUGAAGAUGCAGGUUACCCGCGACAGGACGGAAAGACCCCGUGGAGCUUUACUGUAGCCUGAUAUUGAAAUUCGGCACAGCUUGUACAGGAUAGGUAGGAGCCUUUGAAACGUGAGCGCUAGCUUACGUGGAGGCGCUGGUGGGAUACUACCCUAGCUGUGUUGGCUUUCUAACCCGCACCACUUAUCGUGGUGGGAGACAGUGUCAGGCGGGCAGUUUGACUGGGGCGGUCGCCUCCUAAAAGGUAACGGAGGCGCUCAAAGGUUCCCUCAGAAUGGUUGGAAAUCAUUCAUAGAGUGUAAAGGCAUAAGGGAGCUUGACUGCGAGACCUACAAGUCGAGCAGGGUCGAAAGACGGACUUAGUGAUCCGGUGGUUCCGCAUGGAAGGGCCAUCGCUCAACGGAUAAAAGCUACCCCGGGGAUAACAGGCUUAUCUCCCCCAAGAGUUCACAUCGACGGGGAGGUUUGGCACCUCGAUGUCGGCUCAUCGCAUCC